UCUAAGCCAUCUUUUAGCACCGGAGGCCGAGUUCUUGAUCCAUUUAGGAGCUCUUUAAGUCCUAAAGUUAUCGAGUAUCUUGUUUGUGGUCAAAAUUGGUUUCACAAGUCUUCCAAAUUUAGUGUUGAAGAAAUUUUUGAAGAUGUCCAAAAGAUAGAAGAAGGUAUUGCAUUGAUGUGUACUCAAGAUUCAACAAAUUAAUCAAUCUCCAUUAUUUGUUGAAACUUGGACAAUAUUGAAGACUUGUCAUGGAACUUCAUUUUGGAUUUAUUUUGGUAUAAUAUGCUACUGAAGACAUUUUGGUUGAUGGUUUUUUUUUUAUUUUUUUAUUGUGGAAUGUGGAAUGUGGAUUGCAUUUUGUAUUUGUUGGUUGAUGCCUUGAUGGAUUAUGGAUAUUAUCAAGUUGUUAUGGUUUGUAAUGGCUGAAAUUUUCUGUGCUAUGCUAUUUUUUAAAGUUGUAAUGGUUUGUAUCAAGUUGUUAUGGAUAUUUAUGUGUUGUGUUAUGGUU